UCCGCCUCGCCGGGGCGCCACGUCUGCCGGCAGCUGUAGCGGCGACGGGGGCGGAGCCGGCCUGAGUGGCAGAAAAGAUGGCGGCCAGCAUCCGGGAGAAGCAGACGGUGGCUCUAAAACGUAUGUUGAAUUUCAAUGUGCCACCUGUUAAAAACAGUACAGGUGAACCAGUAUGGAAAGUUCUCAUUUAUGACAGAUUUGGCCAAGAUAUAAUAUCUCCAUUAUUGUCAGUGAAAGAAUUAAGAGACAUGGGCAUUACUUUACAUCUUCUUCUGCACUCCGAUCGAGAUUCUAUUCCAGACGUUCCAGCAAUAUAUUUUGUAAUGCCAACAGAGGAAAAUAUUGACAGGCUGUGCCAGGAUCUUAGAAACCAACUUUACGAAUAUUAUUAUUUAAAUUUUAUUUCUGCCAUUUCAAGAAGUAAACUGGAAGAUAUUGCAAAUGCUGCUCUGGGUGCCAGUGCAGUAGCACAAGUAGCUAAGGUUUUUGACCAAUAUCUCAACUUCAUUACUUUGGAAGAUGAUAUGUUUUUAUUAUGCAAUCAAAACAAGGAGCUUGUUUCGUAUCGUGCCAUCAACAGACCAGAUAUAACAGACACAGAAAUGGAGACUGUAAUGGAUACAAUUGUAGACAGCCUUUUCUGUUUUUUUGUUACACUUGGAGCUAUUCCAAUAAUCCGAUGUUCAAGGGGAACAGCAGCAGAAAUGGUGGCAGUGAAACUAGAUAAGAAACUCCGUGAGAACCUCAGAGAUGCCAGAAACAGCCUUUUCACAGGUGACACACUUGGAGCUGGACAAUUCAGUUUCCAGAGACCUCUCUUAGUACUUGUUGACAGAAACAUCGAUUUGGCAACUCCUCUACACCAUACUUGGACCUACCAAGCCUUAGUGCACGAUGUACUGGAUUUUCAUUUGAACAGAGUUGUUUUGGAAGAGUCUUCAGGAAUGGAAAAUUCCCCAGCAGGUGCUAGACCAAAGAAAAAAAAUAAAAAGUCAUAUGAUUUAACUGCAGCUGAUAAAUUUUGGCAGAAGCAUAAAGGAAGCCCUUUCCCAGAGGUAGCCGAGUCAGUUCAGCAAGAGCUAGAAACUUACAGAGCUCAGGAAGAUGAAGUCAAGAGGCUUAAAAGUAUAAUGGGACUAGAAGGUGAAGAUGAAGGAGCAAUAAGUAUGCUUUCUGAUAACACAGCUAAGCUAACUUCAGCUGUUAGCUCUCUUCCAGAGCUUCUAGAAAAGAAGAGGCUCAUAGAUCUUCAUACAAAUGUGGCAACAGCUGUUCUGGAACAUAUAAAGACACGGAAACUAGAUUUGUAUUUUGAAUAUGAAGAGAAAAUCAUGAGCAAGUCGACCUUGGAUAAAUCACUUUUGGACAUGAUUUCUGAUCCUGAUGCGGGAACUGCAGAGGACAAGAUGCGACUGUUUCUUAUAUAUUACAUAAGUUGUGUACAGUGUCCUUCUGAGGCAGAUCUGGAACAAUACAAAAAAGCGUUGACAGAUGCAGGGUGUAAUCUUAGUCCCUUAAACUACAUUAAACAAUGGAAAGCUUUUGCCAAGAUGGCUUCAGCUCCAACUACGUAUGGAAACAGUGCAGCCAAGUCUCUGGGCCUUUUCUCACGUGUCAUGAAUACAGGAUCCCAGUUUGUGAUGGAAGGAGUCAAGAAUUUCGUGCUAAAGCAACAGAAUCUUCCUGUCACCCGCAUUUUAGACAACCUUAUGGAGAUGAAGUCCAAUCCUGUAAGUACAGCAAACAAACUUGCACAUUAGAUUUUAUUUAUAAAGUCCCUUUACCCUGGCCUUUGAAACCUGACGUGUGUUUUCCAGAUCCACCCUAUACCUGUGACUAAUUUGUUAACUGCUUUUAAUACUGAAUUGUAAAUUGUUAUAACCCACUCUGGGUUCUGCUAGUGAAGGGUGUGCAUUAAAUUUAAUAAUUUUUUUAAAAAUACUGAUAUACACAAUUUUGGUGCCAUGAACUAUUACUAAUUUUAACAUUAUAGGAAGAAAUUGUGUUUCAUAUCGUAUCUGUAAAUCUGCAUGUACCACUUUACAGUUUAACAGAAUGAUGAAGCUGACCAAAACAUAAAACUUCAACAAGUAUUUCAGUAUCAUCUCAUUACCUUUCCUUAUUUGUGUGGGUGUAGAUAUACACACAAAUAUGCCACCAAGGUGGUAAAUACUAUAGAAAAAACCAACAUCUGUGAGGUUGUAUCAUGAAAAACAGCUCCCAAACACAACUGAGGGCACAUAUUUUGGUGGCCUAUGAGAUG